rnacentral:rRNA from 1 species
AACGAACGCUGGCGGCAUGCCUAACACAUGCAAGUCGAACGAGACCUUCGGGUCUAGUGGCGCACGGGUGCGUAACGCGUGGGAAUCUGCCCUUGGGUUCGGAAUAACAGCGAGAAAUUGCUGCUAAUACCGGAUGAUGACGUAAGUCCAAAGAUUUAUCGCCCAAGGAUGAGCCCGCGUAGGAUUAGCUAGUUGGUGAGGUAAAGGCUCACCAAGGCGACGAUCCUUAGCUGGUCUGAGAGGAUGAUCAGCCACACUGGGACUGAGACACGGCCCAGACUCCUACGGGAGGCAGCAGUGGGGAAUUUUGGACAAUGGGGGGCAACCCUGAUCCAGCAAUGCCGCGUGAGUGAAGAAGGCCUCGGGUUGUAAGGACUCUUUUGUUCUAGGGAAGAAAC